UACAGAGGGGGCAAGCGUUAUUCGGAAUUAUUGGGCGUAAAGGGCGCGUAGGCGGCAUGGCAAGUGAAAGGGGAAAUCCCUCGGCUUAACCGAGGAACUGCCCUCCAAACUGCUUUGCUUGAGGCCGGGAGAGGUGAGUGGAAUUCCCAGUGUAGCGGUGAAAUGCGUAGAUAUUGGGAGGAACACCAGUGGCGAAGGCGGCUCACUGGACUGGUUCUGACGCUGAGGCGCGAAAGCGUGGGGAGCAAACGGG
rnacentral:rRNA from 1 species